rnacentral:rRNA from 1 species
GAUGAACGCUGGCGGCGUGCCUAAUACAUGCAAGUCGAGCGAACGGACAAGAAGCUUGCUUCUAUGAAAAUAGAGACGGAAAGGUGAGUCACACGUGGAACACCCACCUAUAAGACUGGGAUAACUUCGGGAAACCGGAGCUAAUACCGGAUGAUAUUUUGAACCGCAUGGUUCAAAAGUGAAAGACGGUCUUGCUGUCACUUAUAGAUGGAUCCGCGCUGCAUUAGCUAGUUGGUAAGGUAACGGCUUACCAAGGCAACGAUGCAUAGCCGACCUGAGAGGGUGAUCGGCCACACUGGAACUGAGACACGGUCCAGACUCCUACGGGAGGCAGCAGUAGGGAAUCUUCCGCAAUGGGCGAAAGCCUGACGGAGCAACGCCGCGUGAGUGAUGAAGGUCUUCGGAUCGUAAAACUCUGUUAUUAGGGAAGAACAUAUGUGUAAGUAACUGUGCACAUCUUGACGGUACCUAAUCAGAAAGCCACGGCUAACUACGUG